AGAGUUGCAUGCAGUAGACCCGAAACCGGGUGAUCUAGCCAUGACCAGGUUGAAGUUGGGGUAAAACCCGAUGGAGGACCGAACCGACCCCCGUUGAAACGUUGGCGGAUGAGUUGUGGCUAGGGGUGAAAUUCCAAUCGAACCCGGAGAUAGCUGGUUCUCCCCGAAAUAGCUUUAGGGCUAGCGUCGAGGUAAGUUGCGUGAAGGUAGAGCACUGAAUAUGUGAUGGCCCCAUCUCGGGGUACUGAGCAUAAUCAAACUGCGAAUGUCACGCCAACAUGCUCGGCAGUCAGACAGCGGGUGAUAAGGUCCGUUGUCAAGAGGGAAACAGCCCAGACCAUCAGCUAAGGUCCCAAAAUGUAUGCUAAGUGGAAAAGGAUGUGGAGAUGUACAGACAACUAGGAGGUUGGCUCAGAAGCAGCCAUCCUUUAAAGAGUGCGUAACAGCUCACUAGUCGAAUGACUCUGCGCCGAUAAUUUACCGGGGCUAAGCAUACUACCGAAGCUAUGGAUCCCAAGGGAUGGUAGGGGAGCGUUCCAUGAACGGAGAAGUACGACCGAAAGGACGUGUGGAGAUCAUGGAAGAGAGAAUGCCGGUGUGAGUAGCGGAACGUGGGUGAGAAUCCCACGCACCGAAAACCCAAGGUUUCCAGAGGAAGGUUCGUCCGCUCUGGGUAAGUCGGGACCUAAGGCGAGGCCGAAAGGCGUAGUCGAUGGACAACAGGUAGAGAUUCCUGUACCCGUAUAUAUGUGAAGGAAUGACGGAGAGAGGAAGCUGCAGCCAGCGGCUGGAAGAGCUGGUGCAAGCGAGAUAUCGGGAUGGCAGGCAAAUCCACCAUCCGAAACGAGAAGGCGUGAAGCGUACGGAAAGCUACGGCGAGUACGGAAGGCAGUGGAGGAACUUCCAAGAAAAGUUUCUAACGUUAAGUAUAUAUGGCCCGUACCGAAAAUGGACACACAUGGGUGAGGAGAGAAUCCUAAGGUGAGCGAGAGAACUAUAGCUAAGGAACUCUGCAAAAUGACUCCGUAACUUAGGGAGAAGGAGUGCUCAUAGAGAUAUGAGCCGCAGUGAAACGGCCCAAGCGACUGUUUACCAAAAACACAGCUCUCUGCUAAGCCGCAAGGCGAAGUAUAGGGGGUGACGCCUGCCCGGUGCUGGAAGGUUAAGGGGAGGGGUUAACGCAAGUGAAGCCCUGAACUGAAGCCCCAGUAAACGGCGGCCGUAACUAUAACGGUCCUAAGGUAGCGAAAUUCCUUGUCAGGUAAGUUCUGACCCGCACGAAAGGCGUAACGAUUUGGGCGCUGUCUCAGCUGUAGACUCGGUGAAGUCUUAGUACCUGUGAAGAUGCAGGUUACCCGCGACUAGACGGAAAGACCCCAUGGAGCUUCACUGCAGGUUGAUAUUGGGAUUUGAUGCAGCAUGUACAGGAUAGGUAGGAGGCAAAGAGAUGGAUACGCCAGUAUUCAAGGAGCCGCUGUUGGGAUACUACCCCUGUUGUAUUGGAUUUCUAACCGGACGACGUAGAGCCGUUGACGGGACAGUGUCAGUCGGGCAGUUUGACUGGGGCGGUCGCCUCCCAAAGAGUAACGGAGGCGCCCAAAGAUACCCUCAGCUUGGAUGGAAACCAAGCGCAGAGUGCAAAGGCAAAAGGGUGUUUGACUGCGAGACCCACAAGUCGAGCAGGGACGAAAGUCGGGCUUAGUGAUCCGGCGGUGCUGAAUGGAAAGGCCGUCGCUCAACGGAUAAAAGCUACCCUGGGGA
rnacentral:rRNA from 1 species